UUAUUUUUUAACACCUAACCUCCUCCAACAAAACCUCCCCCUUCGCGAAAACUCCAAAACCUAGCCUCAAAACUCAUCUCCACCGAAACUCGACUAAAACCCAUCUCCACCAAAACCUUCCUCUGUGCCUCCUCCGUCACUUUACCGCGUGCGCCGCAACCUAGUCUCCUCCGCCACUCCUCUGCGCCGCUAGCGACCUAGUUUCCUCCGCUACUCCUCCACGUUGCCCACAACCUAGCUUCCUUCGCACAAAGGGUUCCAAGAGGUUUCGUCGUUCCUCGCCGCGAAGUCAUCCUUUGCACAAAGGGGCUUCAUCGUUCCUCACAGAGACGUUGUUCCUCACCGCGACGUUGUCCUUCGCACAAAGGGGUCUUGCCGGAGUGAGCUAUAUCCCCUGCCAAAGAAGAGAUCGCCUAGUGAUGCACCUUUCGCACUUGUUCUUCUCUGACUGUCCGCAACCAUUGGAUAUCUGCGACAUAAUUCUCGCACUUAAAGUGGCCUUGCAAUUGCAUUCAUCUCCUAUUGAACUACAUGCAUAGAACACAAGUGGAUCUAUAAUUCAUUCCAACUCAUUCUACAAUCAGAGAGUUAAUUUAUGUUAAGUGGGCAAAGUGUUUGCGGUAAGUUUUGGUUUCUUUUCAUUACAUUAUUAUGCUAAUGAUUUUGCAAAUCAUGCUUUGAAGCUGUACUUGCUCUAUUUAUUCUAAUUCUUGUAUCAAAAUUUUUAACUUGUCAAUAGCAUUCUUCUUCUAAAUAACAUGAAUCUUGAGACAAAUCUAUGUUGCUACAUGCUGUGUGCAUAAAAAUUGUUGAUAUGUUUCCUGAAUGACUAUGCUUGAUUUGGCCUUUAGCUUACCCUUGCAGUAUAAUGUCAAUUACAAUAGUUAGCAUUGAUAUAGUGAAACUGAGAAGUACAAUUGUUGAUUAUUUUGAUUUAGAUAUUUGACGAACACUAUUCUUUGGGGGGGGGGGGAUCUAAUCUAAUUUCCUCUUACCUUGUUUAAAACAACUUGCUUGCCACCAUUAGUUAGAAGUUAAUGUUAGGAAAGAAAUAGGAAGCUUUUUCGAGGAGAAAUCCUUAUGAUUUGAUUUUGGGUUUUUAAAUUAUGGGAAAUGUCCUUUGUGCGAAUACUCAUUUAAAUACUUUUCUUAGUGCAUCACAUUUGAACAUUUAUGUUAGUAUAUCCCUCUUCUAACAAACUGAAAUUUAUGUAUUUAACUAUAUAUUACACAGUUUGAUUCAUACAGCCGACCCCACCUAGUGGAAAAAAGUUUGGUUGUUGUUAUUGUUGUUGUAUAACUAUAUAUUGCAUAGUUUGUCCAAGAAGGUAAGAAUUUGUUCCUUGCCAUUAUUUUCAUUAUCUAAGAUAUUCUCUCCUUUACUUUGACAUUUCUAUUCUGAUACAUUAUUUGUUAUCAUGUUCUAAUUGGUUAGCCUCAUGUUUUAAACUCUACUAACACAAUUGUCAGUUGUUAUUGUGCUAAUUUUGAGUAGAUGUUGUUAUUUAAUGAUAAAAUAUUAACUUGUAAAUUAUAGAUAUUUUAUCAUAUGCCACCAAGCUAUUCAUAUAUAUUAAUUUUGUCAGUUGCUUUGUGCUAAUGGUAAGAAAUAGUUGCUCAUAUUAUUAUUUUUUUAGUAUUAUAUGCUAUGUGUACUUUUGAAAUCUUGAGUUGAAUCAAUAGACUUCCUUGAAAAGCUUGAACACAUCCAGCCAUCUGCUUACAAAAUAUUCAUGGUAAGCUAACUUGUACUCAACCUAUUUAUUUUCUAAUAAUUUAUGCAUAGAACUUGCUUUAUUCAUCAAGUUGAAAUGUUCUAUUCUAUGACUGAUAUACUAGUUUUUGUCAAUAACUCCUCUUCAUAGUGAUGAUAAUGCAUCAUGGGAUAUGGUCAUGGCCAAAGAUUUGUGGGAUGAUAAGCAUGUUGAUGGGAAGGAUUGCUUACAACUUCACCCUAUAAUCCUUUGUACCUGUAAAAGAGAGAGACCAUAUAUUUCUUCACCCAAUAAUCCGCUUAUAUGUAGAUAUUUAUAUACAUAAGGGAAAAUGUUAGGGUCGAUUUGUGCUGGGGGGGGGGGGGUGAAUAGCUCGUCGCACACUCAUUCUCUUGCUUCGUGAUGAUGUCGUUGCAGCGGAAUGAACUCAAAGCAAACUUACAACGCUAACAUAAAAAAUUUACUUAGUAUCCACCUCAAGAAGAUGUGACUAAUCCAAGGAUCCGAAUGUGACACACACUCCACUAUGAAAAACACUCAUUUUCGAUAACUACUGAAGGCGGAGAAGCCUUGUACAAACUCUUAGUACAAGAAAAAAGAAAAGGGAAGCAAAUACAAGUAAAAUCUUACAAGAUUUACAACAUGAAACCCUAAUCCUAGUUUCUUCUUCUCGUGGAACGCCUCUUGACCUUGGAAAAUGCAACAACACUUGACUCCAAGAUGCUUCAAGAAUUGGUGGCGAAAACCUAUGAGAGUCGUGAGAAAACAGUGGAGAAGAGUUGCUGGAAUCACUACGAGGAAGACGACUUUAAACUCAACAUUUCCUUCGCAACGGUCACAUCCCAAUCAAUUGAUUAAUCAAUUAGGGAGGCUUGAAUUGAUCGGUUGAUCGAUUCAGAGCGCCUCUAUGCUCGCUGGAAAAUGAUUGAAUCGAUCGCUCGAUCGAUUCAACCUCUAUUGCGACUUCAAGCAAUUUCCAGCUCCCCAAUCGAUCGGUCGAUCAAUUAGCGGUGCUCAAUCGAUUGACUGAUCGAUUAGGUAAGCUUCUGUGUGCGUGAUUUUGCUUCCCAAUCGAUCGGUCGAUCAAUUGGGCCAGCCUUCGAUCGCGCACACAACCAAUCGAUCGACUGAUCGAUUAGACUACAGUCCAAUCGAUUGGUUGAUCGAUUGACCUCCCUUGGACUUGCUUAACUCAAGUUCUAGGUUCCCAAUUUCAACAUCCGGUCAAUCGUGACCUGUUGG